rnacentral:rRNA from 1 species
UGGGGAAUCUUGGACAAUGGGGGCAACCCUGAUCCAGCGACGCCGCGUGGGUGAUGAAGGCCUUAGGGUUGUAAACCCCUUUCACCGGGGAGGAUGAUGACGUUACCCGGAGAAGAAGCACCGGCUAACUCCGUGCCAGCAGCCGCGGUAAGACGGAGGGUGCUAGUGUUGUUCGGAAUCACUGGGCGUAAAGGGCGCGUAGGCGGCUUGGUCAGUCAGAUGUGAAAGCCCGGGGCUCAACUCCGGAACGGCCUUCGAGACUGGGCAGCUCGAGACCGGAAGAGGAGGGUGGAAUACCCAGUGUAGAGGUGAAAUUCGUAGAUAUUGGGUGGAACACCAGUGGCGAAAGCGGCUCUCUGGUCCGGAUCUGACGCUGAGGCGCAAAAGCGUGGGGAGCAAACAGGAUUAGAUACCCCUGAAGUCC